UACGUAGGGGGCAAGCGUUGGUCCGGAAUCAUUGGGCGUAAAGCGCAUGUAGGCGGCUCGAUAAGUCUGCUGUGAAAGUCCAGGGCUCAACCCUGGGAUGCCGGUGGAUACUGUCGAGCUCGAGUCCGGAAGAGGCGAGUGGAAUUCCUGGUGUAGCGGUGGAAUGCGCAGAUAUCAGGAGGAACACCAACGGCGAAGGCAGCUCGCUGGGACGGUACUGACGCUAAGGCGCGAAAGCGUGGGGAGCGAACAGG
rnacentral:rRNA from 1 species